GCCGUUCCUGCGACCCGGUCGACGGAGUGGAAAGGGGGGGUAAGCGUUAUAGUGCCCUGGUCGUUCGAACGCUUAGGGCCCGAAAGCGUUAGGUUCACCCAAAUAGACGCUAAAUAAUGAUUUGGCUUGGCUCCGUAUAUUAUUUUUAAAUAGGUGUCGCUAAAGUGAUGGACGCGACGAGAGCUCCAUUCUGCCCGUGCGGACUUCGGCCGUGCCCCUGGCUUCUCGUGUUUUUCACUAGCUUUGUGGAAGGUAAUGUGGUUUGUCUGCAUGUCGUCGCCGCUUUUUCCUGUUUGAAGUAGACAAGUAAAACUCUUGCUUGGGCUAGUUGGUUCAUGGUAAACUGAUCAACGAGACAAGUUCCUCGAGAUGAGAUAGGAGACAACAUGAAGUCAUAGGUGAAGUUUUCUGUAAGUGUGUCGUUUAAAUAGGUUGUGGUUUGGCCCUUGUGCUAUGUGCGUCAGUGAAAUUUGCCUGUGCCCGUGUUCAUGUUGCCCAGCAGCCUUUUAGAAGGUGAUUAUGUGGUUUCUGCGCAGGACGUUGCCGCUUUUGUUAGUUUCUACGGGGUCGCUGUGUCCUGCGAAGGCACGCAGAUGCGAAUGGAACUUUUCCGCCUGCUUCGUAGAUAGCGAUAUGUCUCUCGAAGUCAGCUCCACAGCAAACAGUGCACAUAAAGCGUCUAGUUUAUGUGGUUUAUGAAUGGGUGCUAGCGUGAACUUCUGUGUGUGUAACUAAAUCUUCGUGCUGUGUGCCCAUCGCUUGCACAUCGGGCCGCCGGCAACGGAUGUGCUAUAGUAUGCUUCACCGUAAUGUACCAUACUUGUAUCGCAUUGAAGCACUCGGUUCACAGUGGUCCCACCGCAAUACAUCUGUGUAAUGCGGUGAAUGAUACAAAUUGUCUUGCGGUUUACGGGAAGGGAGAAUGUGCAAACUGCAAGCGCAACUACUCAUCUCUCUGAGGACUAAUACUGUGAUUGCUACUACAUUGAUUUGUUGGAGGUGUCUGAUAUGCUAAGGCUUGUUACAAAGACUAUUGUGCUUGUAGAAACGUAGUAAGAGUCUCACGCGCCGUCUCUGGCCACAGUACGAGCACAUAGGGCCAUGACCCCAAAACAAGGGGCCGAAAUUGCUUCAGCGAACAUCAGAAGCAGCUCAUAAUGGCUUCCAGUGUGUGUAUAAGUAAGGAACGCGUACCAGAGACUGGUUUACGGUCUCAUCAUUCGCGGUGCGUAACAUAGGUGAAAGAAGUGCUCAAAUCUCCAAAGCCGCGCCCGAGAUAAUUUUUUACACCUGUGAGUGGUGCGCCUAAAACAGCGGGUGCGCGCGUGCACAAUUAAGGAACACGCAUUAGCAGUAACAGUCGCCCCCUUUCACUUUAUGAUCACCGCCUAGCACGGAUGUACUGCGGCGAAGCUGACUUAAGGGAGUCGAAUUAUGCAACGUUUCUUUACUGUUAGUAAGGUACUGUACUGAUUUAGUCAUUGAGGAUCCAUGUAUUGUAAACUAGAAUGAAAGCUUAACAGCACGUUUUCAUUGAUGCUGUUCAAUAUUGUAAAGAAUUUCUGUUGAACUGGCAGCAUAGGCUUGCCACCUUUUAUUUCUGUAAAAUUCAUGGUCAUCAAAAUUUCCAUUGCAUGAUUUUACGCUUUUAAAAUAGCCUUGUGUUUUUUCCGAGUUAACCUUAUUUGGUGCUACAUCUGGUAAAGUAUAAGUGAAACUAAGUGUGGUAAAUGCCAAAGAAAUCGCAUACAUUUUUCUUGUUUGCUCUUGUGGAAGCACCAUAUUGUUGACAUUAUAAGGCAUACUGUCAAUAACAUAUUGUUUACAAGCUGAACACUUUGCAUUUCCAGCCUAAUUUAACUCUUUAGGCAAUUCUGCAGGACCAGUUUUGGAACAACACAAUCGCAGUUCUGUAAUAUAAUCAAAACAUUUGCAGUGCCCGGGUUAUUUUGUAAUGGUUUUACUUAUUACAUUGAUGAAGGCCAAAAAUAGCAGUUUUGUAUGGUCCAUCAUAAAUUAGUGUAGGCAUUUUUAUUGGCAGUGUUAAGUGAACAAAAUCUUGUCAUGUGCUGCAGUAAUUGGUAUCAGUGAUUCAUUCGUUUGCUUUAUCUCUAGACAAUAAUGGUCAAAUAGAUGUAAUAUUUUUAGAUUUCAGAAAAGCCUUCGAUUAGGUUCCGCACGACAAAUUAAUCUUCAAACUUAGAAUUAUUGGCAUACCUGUCAUUUUCAUAAACUGGAUUAUUGCUUACCUGAGCAAACGCACUCACUUUGUUACAAUUGGUGAACAUAGCUCGGCCACUCUCCCAGUCAUAUCAGGGGUGCCAGAAGGUGGUGCCUUGGGGCCUUUACUGUCUCUAAUGUAUAUAAAUGACAUUGUUAAAACCAUAACUCCCAGUGUGCAAAUUAGACUGUUUGCCGAUGAUUGUAUUUUAUACAGUGAUGUAACUUGUCAGAAUGAUCAGACUGUCCUCAAAAAGGAUUUAAAUAACAUAAUGAAGUGGUGUAAUGAAUGGGGUAUGUUUAUUAAUGCUGAUAAAUUCGUAUUUCUUCGUAUUACUCUUAAAAAGAACCACUAACUUAUACGCUAGGUUCUUCAUCUCUGCGUGAGACUAACAAUUACAAAUACAUAGGUGUUACUUUGACUUCCACAUUGUCGUGGAACAUGCACAUUAAUGAUAUUUGUUCUGCUUUCCGCAAACCCUGUUUCCUAAGACACAAACUGAAAAAUGCCCCGCCUAAUGUGAAAUUACUGUUUUUUUUGCUUUCAAUAGACCAAAGUUAGAGUAUGCAUGUAUAUCAUGGGAUCCUUACGCUAAGUCAAAUAUUGUGCGUCUUGAAAAAAUGCAAAGAGAGGCAGUUAGGUUUAUAUUUCAUAAAUUCGUAAGACUGGACUCUCCCUCUAAAAUUAUGACAGAAAAUUCCAUACCCACUCUUGAAUCACUCCGAAUGAUGCUAAGGCUUGAAUUCCUUUCCCUUCUUCUCAACAAGCUUGAAAUUAAACCAUCGACUCACAUAACACCUGCACUAACACGGCACACAAGACAGCAUCAUCCGGACUCACUAACACCCUAUUAUGUUUGAACUGACACGUUUAAAUUUUCUUUUUUUUUUUUCCAGAACAAUAUCAGACUGGAAUGACAGUUUACAGAUAGAGUGUGACUAAAAAUUGUAUAAAUUUGUAUUCGCUUGUCCCUAAUUUGUUCUCUUUUGUUUGUAUGCAUUCUAUUGCCCCUCUGCUUGGACUGAAAGGUCUGUAGUAGGUACUAAAUAAAUAAAUAAAAUACUGAUCUUCCUUUACUUAUGCAGCUGUACUUGUUUUUUUUUAAUGUUGAUCUCAUUAAAUUUACAUCAGUAGAUUAUUGGCAUCAGUACAGGUUUCAGAAAGUUAUAUCACUUAAAAAAGUACAGUACUUAAUAUUUGGGAAAGCUUGUCUAAUAUAAAGAGCCAAUGAAAUACUUUGGUAUUUCCUUAGACAUUACAAAGCAUUUCAUUGAAUGAAUGAAUGAAUGAAUGAAUGAGGGUUUUUUAUUGACAAAAUACAGUACAAGGGAAUAUUAUACAGGAGGAGGUCCCGACGUCAAAGACUAAUGGGACCUCCUGUACAGCGUAUAAGUAAAAAUAUAAACACUUGCAACAAAUAAUGUAAAAAAUAAAAAAAAAAUAGGAAACAUAGUAUUGGUUGUAUUAAUUUGUAUUAGCAGCACUAAUACAAAUUAGCUACAAACAUGUAAACAAGUAAAGAAGUAUAAUAAUUAUGACAUUUGACUAAUUAUGCCAUUAUGAAAGUAAAUGGAUAAUGAAACACAACCAAGCAAACUUUUAUUUGUGUAGCAUAAGUUUUAACAAAAUGUACAUUUGGAAGGGAGGAAUGAAAAAAAAAAAAAGACAAGUGGUUGCAGAUGAUAAAAUGUGGUCUUUUAGUUCUAGUUAAUGAUAUACAUGAUUUAAUUGUAGGAGGUAGUGUGUUCAAGAAGGAAAUGGGCAAAAAAUGGAUACUCUGCUAACCAUAAUUUGUGCGUACCUUGGGAAGAAUAAUAAUAUUGUUAAGUGCAAAUCGCCUAAGAUUAGUAUUCAUUAGACAAGAGGUAUCAGCCUGUUCCAGUGAGCAUUACCUAGUUGUUGGCAUAAAAAUGUACCAAGAUUAAGGUUAAUAAGUUCAUCUACGGUAAGAAUGUUGUAAUUACGUAAUAACUGUUUGGAAUUGAAAUGGUUCAAAUUAAAUGUAAUUCUAACAGCCUAGUUUUGUAAUACUUGUAAUGAUUCUAAGUGGGUAAGUGUUUUGUGGUUCAAUGCAUACCGAGCUUUUAAAAGUGUCCUUAUUUCAUAUGUUGCCUUCUGCCUAAUGUUUGCUAUGUGUUGAUAAAAUUUAAGGUUAGAAUCAAGUUCUACACCCAAAUAGUUACAGGAAGUACUAUAAUCAAGGGUUCGACGAAAGUUCGUCUGGUCAGGCAUGGAAAUGAAGGGGAUCACGCUCAUUUGACCAAGUCUGAUGUAUAAUCCGACGUUUCGGAACUGCGUACGGGUUCCUUGUUUACUGAGUUGGACAGGAAAUCAUCAUCAGUUAUGUAGCCAGCACGUGAUGUAAUAAGCGUGCGUAAAUGGCAGGCAUAGUCCCUGGUGUCCGGUUCAUCAUAGCUGGCGUCGAUUGAAUGAUUAGCGAUUCUAUCAGCCGCCGGGAUGACAUGUUCUUUUCUUUGGCAACAAUAUUAGCAUUGUCCCAGUCAAUCUUGUGACUGUGUUCUUGCGCAUGCUCAGCAAUGGCGUUCGUCGUGUGACUAUUAUUUCUUACAUCACAUUUAUGGUCCUUGAGGCAUCUGGAGACCUUCCGUGUUUCACCAAUAUAUACUUUGUGGCAAUCAGCGCAUGGUAUCUUAUACACGACCGCUGGGAAUGAUUCAACAGUGCAUUGUCGCCUGAGGAGACGCGUAUGGCGCAUGUUAUCAAGGACAACACUACGGACGUCUUGUGGCCGACAGGAUAACAAGAAUUAAACCUGAGGUAACAACCUUUGUGCGCAGGCUUCCUGUAUACUCAGAAGGCGAGAGCGCCCCCAUCCCGACGAAUCAGUACAUCCAAUAAAGGCAACAAGUUGUCCCUCUCGUGUCCAGCGGUGAAUUGUAUGUGUGCAUUUUGGGCAGUCAGGCAGUCCAGGAAGCGUUGUAUGUCUUGCUUCUUCAAAAUACAGAAGCAGUCAUUUUACGUAGCGAUAAAAAACUUUAGGGGCCGGGUUGAAUGUGGCCAGCACCUUUCCUUCCAAGGCUUCCAUUACUAUAUUGGCCGUGGUAACCAAUAUUGGCGCUCCAUCACCAUGCCAUGCGUUUGCUGAUAAAGGCUGCCACCAUAAGAAAAAUUAUUGCUUAGACAAAACCACAGCAGUUCGGGGACAUCGAAGGACAUGCAACCAGGAAGACCACUCUCUGCUUCUAGGGCUUCUUAUCACAUGGCUACUGCCAAAUUCACUGGGACACUAGUGAAAAGCGAUGUGACGUCGAACGAGACCAUGGCGUCAUCUUCACUCAGCGUGAUGUCCUUUACCUUUUUCUUUAUGAGUCGUGUAUAAAAUACUAUGCGCUGAUUGCCACAAAAAAUAUAUUGGUGAAACAGGGAAGUUCUCCAGACGCCUCAAGGACCAUAAACGUGACGUAAGAAAUAAUAGUCACAUGACGAAUGCCAUUGCCGAGCAUGUGCAGGAACAUAGCCACAAGAUUGACUGGGACAAUGCCACUGUUGUUGCCAAAGAAAAGAACAUGUCAUCCCGGUGGCUGCUAGAAUCGCUAAUCAUUCAAUCGACGCCAGCUACGAUGAACCGGACACGCCGGACACACCGGACGCAUGUUUGUUACGUCACGUGCUGGCUACAUAAGUGACGACGAUUUUCUGUUCAACUCAAGCAACACGUGCCCGGUUCCGAAAUGCGGGUUAUACAUCAGACUUGGUCAGUGACCGUGAUCCCCUUCAGGAAGUACUAUGUGCAAUAAGAUUAUUACCAAGUUAAAAUGAAGGAAUGAAUGCGGAUGAGCGUUGGUGGGACAAGACUAAAAUUUAGUUUUAGACAAGCUUAUAUUGAGCUGGUUAAUACUGCACGAAUUUAACACGUUGUUUAAGUCAGUAUUAAGUUUCGAAACUAGGUUCCCUACACAAAUGUCAGGGUUAUAGAUGUGUCAUAUGUGUAAAGAAUGUAGUAAGAAGAAAGCAGGCAAUUAGGCAGGUUGUUACAGUUCAUUCUGUCAAACAUGACACAGGGCAUGUUUCUAAGUUUAUUCAUAACUAUUGAACGAACUGCAGAAUGUUUCUUUAAACGUGAGGACCAGUCUACACCCUUUGGGUGCUGUACAUUGUUGGCACAUGCAUAUAUUGUGGUGUAAAGGUUGUAUCAGGCUGAAUGGUAUAUCCAGUGAUGCAGCACCAAAAUUUGCAAAACCAAAAUUUUUGGUAUAGUUGAAAAACUAACUAAAAAAUAUUAUAGUUUGAAAAUAACGAAUGUCAAAGGAAACCCCAAGAAUAUGGUUCGUCCAUAAAUUAUGCAAGAAUACUUCAAAGAAAAAAAAGGAAAUCUGCAAUUAGGUUCAUUGGGCAAAAAGAAAUAAAACUUCUUGCAUCUUAGGUGUUUGUACCAUGCAGUAAAGCAGCUCCCUAAUGUCAUGCACAAGUAAAUUGCCUUUGCAGUAAAAAACCUUAGACUUUUGUUUGAUGACUCUGCACAGCACUUCUCAUAGUUUCUACUCUUUUGUGGCUUCCAUCACCAGUCUUGAAGUUCUGAGGCCAUUAGUGGUUGGUCACUGUUAGUGACGAGCCAUAACAUCUGUGGAUGAGUUCGAUUCUGCAUUAAAACUGGUCAAAAUGUGGCCUUCUCUGAAGUGGUGGCAUUUCGUGGUAGUACUUGCAAUGCACAAGGAAAAUAAUGAACUUGUUUACAACACUGUAUAUAUAGUGAAAGAAGUUGUCUGCCACCUGCUUAUGCACCACGUCAAAACAGUGCAAAAUGUAAUCGGUGCUAUUUAUCGACAACCAGUCCAGCAUUAUAGUUGACACUUUACUCAUUUCUUGUAACCAGGAUGUGUUGGCAGUGUCAGCAGUAAUCAUUCUGUGUACUAAACAUCUUUCCUUUCCCUGCAAAUAUGAAAAUGUUGUGCAGAUCUGCGGUAAUUACAGUUUGCAUGCUUUCUUAACAGAUCAGGCAAAAAGCAAAGUUCAUGUCCCUUUAGCUAUUACACAAACACUACUGCAUGUUCUUGCAGUUGCAUCAAAAAUUCCAAUUUGACAAAAAAAAGAAGACAAUAUCAGAGCUGAUUAUUUAUUAUGUUAGCCUAUUUCUUAAGCUAAUAUAUUAUGUUAUGUGCUUGCCAAUCCAUUUGUAGAUGCAAUAAUUGGGUUGUAAAAUUAUUCAUUGCAUUAUUCAAGUUAUUCUGAAGUUAUAGCGAGUGGGGCUACACUAAUCCAGGUACAACCAAAUUAAGAAGGCCCACUAAGCUUGAACAAAGACACUCCCUCACCAGAACAGGAAUUGGCCUCCCUGGUGUAGUAUUCGGCCACAACCUCCCUAAUGAUAUCUUCGAUUAACCAAUGGCCCUCAGUCCCCAAUAGCUGCGGAGCACCUGACCAAGGCAGCGGUCAGACUUGCAACGCAGCAGAGGGUGCUAAGAGUCUCUGGGUCUGGACAGGCUGCCCAUGGAAACUGACCCUUGCAACGUUUAACACCCGAACCCACUCGAGUGAGGCUAGCUUAGCAGGACUCUUCAAAGAACUAUCAGACAUUGUUUGGGAUAUUAUCGGCCUUAGUGAGAUUAGAAGAGCUGGUGAGGCUUACACAUUGCUGAAUAACGGCCAUGUCCUCUGCUAUAGAGGUCUCCCAGAUAAGAAGCAACACAGGGUAGGACCUAAUCCAUAAGGACAAAGCAGGUAACAUUGACGAAUUCUACAGCAUCAACGAGAGGGUAGCAGUAGUCGUAAUCAGACUAAAUAAGAGGUAAAGAUUAAAGGUAGUACAAACCUACACUCCAACGUCCAGUCACGAAGAUGAGGAAGUAGAUAAGUUUUAUGAGGAUGUUGAAUUAGCGAUGAGAAAAGUGCAAAUGCGGUAUACAGUAGUAAUGGGUGACUUCAAUGCAAGAGCGGGGAAAAAGCAGGCGGGUGAACAGGCAGUUGGCAACUACGGUGGCGAUUCUAGAAACACUAGAGGAGAGAUGCUGGUAGAAUUCGCAGAAAGGAAUAAGCUGAGAAUAAUGAACACCUUUUUCAGGAAGCAUAGCCACAGAAAGGAGACCUGGAAAAGCCCUAAUGGUGAAACAAGAAAUGAAAUUGAUUUCAUACUUUCUGCUGAUCCCAGCAUAGUGCAGGAUGUAGAAGUGAUAGGUAGGGUAAAGUGCAGUGAUUUUAGGUUAGUGAGGGCCAGUAUUCACCUCAAUUUGAACAGAGAAAGAGUAAAAUUGGUCAAGAAAAAACAGGUCAACUUAGAGGCAGUAAGGGUAAAAGCAGACAAAUUUAGGCUGGCACUUGCAAACAAAUAUGCAGCCUUAGAACAGAGUGACGAUGAUCAUGACAUAGAGGUAAUGAAGGAAACUGUACUGAGGCUGGCUUCAGAGGCAGCAAUUGAAGUGGGAGGCAAGGCACCAAGGCAACCAGUAGGCAAGCUCUCCCAAGUAACAAAGGACCUAAUAAAGAAACGAAAAGAAUGAAAGUGUCCAACUCAAGAGAUGAGACAGAAUGCUCGAAACUAUCAAUACUGAUCAGCAAGGCGAAAAUAAGUGAUAUUCAAAAUUAUAACGUGAGAAAGACUGAAGAAGCCAUAAAAAAUGGACGCACCCUGAAAUCAGUGAGAAGAAAACUUGGCAUAGGACAAACCAAGAUGAAUGCACUGAAAUAUAAGCAGGAUAAUAUCAUCAGCAAUUUCGAAGGUAUAAUAAAAGCAUCGGAAGAAUUCUAUAUGACCUGUACAGUACCUAGAGGGCUCAGGAGUACUUUAUUCGAAACAGUGAACAGUAUACGGAAACUCCUCCUAUAUAACAGAAACUCCUCCUAGAGAUGAGGUCAGAAGGGCCUUGCAAGGCAUGAAAUGGGGAAAAGCGGCAGGAGAGGAUAGAAUAACAGUCGAUUUAAUCAAAGAUGGAGGACACACAAUGCUUGGAAAACUGGCGGCUCUCUAUACGAAGUGUCUAUCGACUGCAAGGGUCCCAGAAAACUGGAAGAAUGCAAACAUUAUACUAAUCCACAAAAAGGGCGACGUUAAAAAAACUGAAAAAUUAUAGGCCCAUUAGUUUACUCCCAGUAUUAUAUAAAAUAUUUACCAAAAUGAUCUCCAAUAGAGUAAGGGCAACAUUGGACUUUAGUCAACCAAGGGAGCAGACUGGCGUCAGGAAAGGAUACUCUACAUUGGAUCACAUCCAUGUCAUUAAUCAGGUUAUCGAGAAAUCCGCAGAGUACAAUAAGCCUCUCUAUAUGGCUUUCAUAGAUUACGAAAAAGCAUUUGAUUCAGUAGAGAUACCACCAGUCAUAGAGGCAUUGCAUAAUCAAGGAGUACAGACCGCUUAUGUAAAUACCAUGGAAAUUAUCUACAGAUUGCACAGCCACCUUAAU